rnacentral:rRNA from 1 species
UACAGAGGGUGCGAGCGUUAAUCGGAAUUACUGGGCGUAAAGCGCACGUAGGUGGCGACGUAAGUCGGGUGUGAAAGCCCCGGGCUCAACCUGGGAAUUGCAUUCGAGACUGCAUUGCUCGAGUACGGAAGAGGAAGGCGGAAUUCCCGGUGUAGCGGUGGAAUGCGUAGAUAUCGGGAGGAACUUCAGUGGCGAAGGCGGCCUUCUGGUCCAGUACUGACACUCAAGGGCGAAAGCGUGGGGAGCAAACAGG